rnacentral:rRNA from 1 species
AAUGAACGUUGGCGGCGUGGAUUAGGCAUGCAAGUCGAGCGAGAAGCCCCCUUCGGGGGGUGGACAGCGGCGAAAGGGAGAGUAACGCGUGGAUACCUACCCCCAGGACCGGGAUAGCGGCGGGAAACUGCCGGUAAUACCGGAUGAUGUCUCUGGACCAAAGGUGUGAUUCCGCCUGGGGACGGGUCCGCGUCCUAUUAGCUUGUUGGUGGGGUAACGGCCUACCAAUGCUGAGAUGGGUACCGGGUGUGAGAGCAUGGCCCGGCUCACUGAGACUGAGACACUGCCCAGACACCUACGGGUGGCUGCAGUCGAGAAUCUUCCGCAAUGGGCGCAAGCCUGACGGAGCGACGCCGCGUGCGGGAUGAAGGCCUUCGGGUUGUAAACCGCUGUCAGUGGGGAGCAAAUCCAAAGAGGCUAUCCUCUUUGGUUGAGCGAUCCGCAGAGGAAGCGCAGGCUAAGUUCGUG